CCGGGUGUGGCGAAGCUUGGUAUCGCGCUUGGUUCGGGUCCAAGAGACCGUGGGUUCAAAUCCCGCCACUCGGACCA
rnacentral:tRNA from 5 species